UGACCGCUGGCGGCGUGCCUACUACAUGCACGUCGAGCGAACAGACGAGGAGCUUGCUCCUCUGACGUUAGCGGCGGACGGGUGAGUAACACGUGGAUAACCUACCUAUAAGACUGGGAUAACUUCGGGAAACCGGAGCUAAUACCGGAUAAUAUAUUGAACCGCAUGGUUCAAUAGUGAAAGACGGUUUUGCUGUCACUUAUAGAUGGAUCCGCGCCGCAUUAGCUAGUUGGUAAGGUAACGGCUUAUCAAGGCAACGAUGCGUAGCCGACCUGAGAGGGUGAUCGGCCACACUGGAACUGAGACACGGUCCAGACUCCUACGGGAGGCAGCAGUAGGGAAUCUUCCGCAAUGGGCGAAAGCCUGACGGAGCAACGCCGCGUGAGUGAUGAAGGUCUUCGGAUCGUAAAACUCUGUUAUUAGGGAAGAACAAAUGUGUAAGUAACUAUGCACGUCUUGACGGUACCUAAUCAGAAAGCCACGGCUAACUACGUG
rnacentral:rRNA from 1 species